UUGAACAACUGGGUGGGUUGUUGCUGGCCUCUUGGGGCAUGUGCACACCUGCCUUCGUUUCUUCUCUUCGCCACCUGUGCACAUUUUGUAGACUUGGAUAUCUUUCGAGGCAACUCGGUCAGGGAGCUGUCGUUGAGCUCAAGGCUUGCUCGGCUGCUCCUACAUUUCCGGUCUAUGUUCUUUCUUGUACACCAUUGUAUGUUGCAGAAUGUAUGAAUUGGGCAUUUAUAAAUCUAUUA
rnacentral:misc_RNA from 1 species